GAGAGCACCUGUGCUUUGGCAAUGUCC
rnacentral:piRNA from 1 species